GAUGAACGCUGGCGGCGUGCUUAACACAUGCAAGUCGAACGAAGCACUUUAACCUGAUUCUUCGGAUGAAGGUUUUUGUGACUGAGUGGCGGACGGGUGAGUAACGCGUGGGUAACCUGCCUCAUACAGGGGGAUAACAGUUAGAAAUGACUGCUAAUACCGCAUAAGACCACAGAGCCGCAUGGCUCGGUGGGAAAAACUCCGGUGGUAUGAGAUGGACCCGCGUCUGAUUAGGUAGUUGGUGGGGUAACGGCCUACCAAGCCAACGAUCAGUAGCCGACCUGAGAGGGUGACCGGCCACAUUGGGACUGAGACACGGCCCAAACUCCUACGGGAGGCAGCAGUGGGGAAUAUUGCACAAUGGGGGAAACCCUGAUGCAGCGACGCCGCGUGAGCGAAGAAGUAUUUCGGUAUGUAAAGCUCUAUCAGCAGGGAAGAAAAUGACGGUACCCGACUAAGAAGCACCGGCUAAAUACGUG
rnacentral:rRNA from 1 species